UCGACGCUGGGGACAGCACGUUUCCGGAACGCCCCCCGGACGAAUUACAACCAUUCUACACUCUUGGCGGUUUGGCGACCGUGUACUACGACAAGAUUUACAGGCGACAAUAU
rnacentral:sRNA from 1 species